CUGGGCUCCAUCGCCAGGACCUCCGUCGAAAGAAAGAAGCUACGUGCGAACCUAAAAUACCUCAAGACCCUAGGUCCAGAUACCACGUGCAGUACUGCUUGCUUUCCUUUUGCCCGCUGUCUUCACACGUACCCCAAACACGACCAGGUUUUUCCCUCGAAAAAUUCUUCAGUCCUCUGAAGUUCUUCUGGGCCCCGUUAGUUCACGGAAAGAUGUUGAGGGGGUUAGACUUCAGGUGUGCGGACAGUUCAAGUGUAGUGCUGUCGCUAACGUCUGUGUGCCUGCACCCUCUAGGUGACACGUGGCCCUUAAGCUCGGGACAAGAGGAAGACGUGGAGUCCCCUGACGAGGAGGAAGGGGCGCCCGAGCCAGAAACCGAACGGGAAGACACCCGUCCUGAGGCGAACGUAGCUGACGAAGGUGCUCCGGAGGAGCCAACCGAGGACGAGACAUUGACGUCUGCGCUCGCAGCAGACCAGCCUGACGUGUCCGGUGACACGUGGCCCUUAAGCUCGGGACAAGAGGAAGACGUGGAGUCCCCUGACGAGGAGGAAGUUUCAACGCAGUCAGAAAGUGCAGUGGAAUAUUAUACUGAAUACUUUGCAGAUGCUACUGAGGAACCAGCUGUGCAGGAGAAGAUCACAUUUGAUGAAGGGAUUUUAAUGUUUAUAUUAUUGUUUUGUAGCUUUUGUGUGAUUUUUAUUGUAUUAUAUAAAUCUACCCUUGAUGAGAUAUGGCGGGGUUAAUUGGUAUAUACUGCGUUGUAUCCAUUUGUUAAUUGUUUCCCCCUCGAUUCAUUAAACCCGUCUUUAUAGCUCAAAAAUAUGUGAUUUGUAUUUGUAUAGAUUGUGUUUGGGUUCUUAACCUAUGUUUUCUCUUAUUUCAGAAGUAUUUGUCAUCCUGUUUCUAUUGGUUUUUUUUUUUAUAAGUGUAUAUGUUAAUUUUUACAGUGAUUCUGACAAAAAUAUUUGAUUAAAAGGAAUAGUGUGUUGGUUUUUGUUAUUUUUUCUGUUUUCAUCUCUUGAACUUUUAAAACAUGUUCUUGCUUCCUUCGAAAUGUUGUAUUUUCAAGUAGAGCUGCAGGGACAUUGCAGGAGAACGAACAGCAUGGUAAGCAGUAUGAAAUACGUUACGUUCUUAUACCAUCAGUUGAUUCAGUUGUGCUCUAUUCAGGGCCAUCCCUGAUUCUAGGAAUGGAUUCUAUUCCUCAAACUGCGUGAGCAGUAUGCACUGUUUCCUGUUUUAAAAUAUAUCUACCCACCCCAUCCCGCAUCUCAAGUGUUUUCUCACCCUUUAUGCACUGUUCUUUACUCAUUUGAAUUGUCAAUGGGGCCCCACUGCAGAUUUCCAGGGGCCUUUCUGUGGUCCGCUCCCUCCUCGCCAGCCCUCUCUUGUCUGAUCUCUUAUCUGCGUUGGUUUUGUCUGACUCUCUGCUUCAUCACCUCGACUGAGGGUGUCUGGUGGGCCCUCCUACCUCUGUUCCCUGUCCCUGUGUCACAGCCUGCAUAUUCUCCCAAGGCCGUGCACUGGGGCGUCCAUUAGACUCACUUCAUGUGUGUUUAGGGAUCACUGUCCUUCAUUGUCUG
ensembl:lncRNA